rnacentral:rRNA from 1 species
UACGUAGGGGGCAAGCGUUGUCCGGAAUUAUUGGGCGUAAAGAGCGUGUAGGCGGUCCGGUAAGUCAGCUGUGAAAGUCAAGGGCUCAACCCUUGAAAGCCGGUUGAUACUGUCGGGCUAGAGUCCGGAAGAGGCGAGUGGAAUUCCCGGUGUAGCGGUGAAAUGCGCAGAUAUCGGGAAGAACACCCGUGGCGAAGGCGGCACUCUGGGACGGUACUGACGCUGAGACGCGAAAGCGUGGGGAGCGAACAGG